GAAAAGAAACUAACAAGGAUUCCCCUAGUAACUGCGAGUGAAGCGGGAAAAGCUCAAAUUUAAAAUCUGGCAGCCUCUGGUUGUCCGAGUUGUAAUCUAGAGAAGUGUUAUCCGCGCUGGACCGUGUAUAAGUCUCCUGGAAUGGAGCGUCAUAGAGGGUGAGAAUCCCGUCUUUGACACGGACUACCAGGGCUUUGUGAUGCGCUCUCGAAGAGUCGAGUUGUUUGGGAAUGCAGCUCAAAAUGGGUGGUAAAUUCCAUCUAAAGCUAAAUAUUGGCGAGAGACCGAUAGCGAACAAGUACCGUGAGGGAAAGAUGAAAAGAACUUUGGAAAGAGAGUUAAACAGUACGUGAAAUUGUUGAAAGGGAAACGCUUGAAGUCAGUCGCGUUGGCCAGGGAUCAACCUUGCUCUUGCAGGGCGUACUUCCUGGUUGACGGGUCAGCAUCAAUUUUGACCGUUGGAUAAAGAUUAGGGGAAUGUGGCAUCUUCGGGUGUGUUAUAGCCUCUGAUCGCAUACGACGGUUGGGAUUGAGGAACUCAGCACGCCGCAAGGCCGGGUACUUGUACCACGUUCGUGCUUAGGAUGCUGGCAUAAUGGCUUUAAUCGACCCGU
rnacentral:rRNA from 1 species